GGAGAGGUGUCUGAGUGGUUGAAGGUGCCGCUCUCGAAAAGCGGUGCGGGGAAACCUGCCCAGGGUUCGAAUCCCUGCCUCUCCG
rnacentral:tRNA from 1 species